rnacentral:rRNA from 1 species
AGUGGCGGACGGGUGAGUAACGCGUGAGAAUCUGGCUUCAGGAGGGGGACAACAGUUGGAAACGACUGCUAAUACCCCAUAUGUCUACGGAUGAAACGGUGAAUUCCGCCUGAAGAUGAACUCGCGUCGGAUUAGCUAGUUGGUGAGGUAAAGGCUCACCAAGGCGACGAUCCGUAGCUGGUCUGAGAGGAUGAUCAGCCACACUGGGACCGAGACACGGCCCAGACUCCUACGGGAGGCAGCAGUGGGGAAUUUUCCGCAAUGGGCGAAAGCCUGACGGAGCAACGCCGCGUGCGGGAGGACGGCCUGUGGGUUGUAAACCGCUUUUCUCUGGGAAGAAUAAGUUGACGGUACCAGAGGAAUCAGCAUCGGCUAACUCCGUGCCAGCAGCCGCGGUAAUACGGAGGAUGCAAGCGUUAUCCGGAAUUAUUGGGCGUAAAGCGUCCGUAGGUGGUUGAGGAAGUCUGCUGUCAAAGCAUGGAGCUUAACUCCAUAAGGGCAGUGGAAACUCCUCGACUAGAGUGCGGUAGGGGUAAGGGGAAUUCCCAGUGUAGCGGUGAAAUGCGUAGAUAUUGGGAAGAACAUCGGUGGCGAAGGCGCCUUGCUGGACCUGCACUGACACUGAGGGACGAAAGCUGGGGGAGCGAAAGGGAUUAGAUACCCCUGUAGUCCUAGCUGUAAACGAUGGAAACUAGGUGUUG